AUACGUAGGUGGCAAGCGUUGUCCGGAUUUACUGGGUGUAAAGGGCGUGUAGGCGGAGAUGCAAGUCAGGAGUGAAAUCUAGGGGCUCAACCCCUAAACUGCUUUUGAAACUGUAUCCCUUGAGUAUCGGAGAGGCAGGCGGGAUUUCUAGUGUAGCGGUGGAAUGCCUAGAUAUUAGGAGGAACACCAGUGGCGAAGGCGGCCUGCUGGACGACAACUGACGCUGAGGCGCGAAAGCGUGGGGAGCAAACAGGAUUAGAUUCCCUGGUAGUCCACGCUGUAAACGAUGAAUACUAGGUGUGGGGGGACUGACCCCCUCCGUGCCGCAGUUAACACAAUAAGUAUUCCACCUGGGGAGUACGAUCGCAAGAUUGAAACUCAAAUGAAUUGACGGGG
rnacentral:rRNA from 1 species